GCUUGCUUCGCAACAAGCAGCACGCUAAAUUGGAUACGAUACAGAGAAGAUUAGCAUGGCCCCUGCGCAAGAAGGAUGACACGCAAAUUCGUGAAGCGUUCCACAUUUUU
ensembl:snRNA U6 U6 spliceosomal RNA